rnacentral:rRNA from 1 species
GGGUUAGUAGGUUGGUCAUGCCUCCGGUAUGUACUGGUCUCACUGAUUCCUCCUUCCUGAUGAGCCGUAAUGCCAUUAAUUUGGUGUUUUGGGGGAUUUGGACUGUUACUUUGAAAAAAUUAGAGUGUUUAAAGCAAGCUAACGCUUGAAUACAUUAGCAUGGAAUAAUGAAAUAGGACAUCAGAUUCUAUUUUGUUGGUUUCUAGGAUUGACGUA